rfam:Physcomitrella patens subsp. patens PHYPAscaffold_12 genomic scaffold, whole genome shotgun sequence.
UAAAAGGCUUUUAUAAAAGCCAUAUUUAAAUAUUUUGAAUUAUUAU